ACUCCUACGGGGAGGCACAGUGGGGGAAUAUUGCACAAUGGGGGGAAACCCUGAUGCAGCCAUGCCGCGUGUGUGAAGAAGGCCUUCGGGUUGUAAAGCACUUUCAGUAGGGAGGAAGGUAGUGUAGUUAACACCUGCAUUAUUUGACGUUACCUACAGAAGAAGCACCGGCUAACUCCGUGCCAGCAGCCGCGGUAAUACGGAGGGUGCGAGCGUUAAUCGGAAUUACUGGGCGUAAAGCGCAUGCAGGUGGUUUGUUAAGUCAGA
rnacentral:rRNA from 1 species